rnacentral:rRNA from 1 species
AUGACCCGCUUGCAUCAUAGGCGUGUCUCAAUGGCUAGGUCGAACAAGUCUUCUUCUAGUGCCUCCGUAGGAAACAAUGGAUCAACUCGGCCAACUGCACAAGCUAAAAAGCCUAGAACACCAAGAACUAGGACUUCAGCCGGUCUCAGACUAGAGGAAAUUGACCGACCGCUUAUAGUUCCCGUUGGCAUGGCAUGGGAAAGGCACCCAUACAGCGCUCGUGAUCCAUCAACGGUGCUAGGUGCCUUAGUGCGCCAGAUGUAUCCACCGCCAAUUGGUCCAAAAAAUGAUCAGAAACCGGUAUUGUGUUGGGAGGACUACAAGUGGUCCCCUGGUCCAGAAGUAAGAACAACAGCUUCCAAAAUAGUGGAAGAAUUUUGGUGGCGUUUCAAGUGUGACCCAUCGGAGCAAGAGAAGGCAGAUGGUGUUUUGGAGGAGAACUUAACUAGGAAAGUGAAGCUGAUGCUACAUGAGGAAAAGGCGGCAGCCAUCAAAAGAUUAAAGAAGAAGGGACAAUUGCCUACAGAACUAACAGAAGAGGAUGAGGAUGGUAACCGCUGGCCAACUAAGGAAGCUUUAAUUUCUGCAAAGAGAGUUGACUUUGGUACAGACGUUGGUUGGCGUCUACUAUGUGAGCACUGGAGUAGUACUGAAUUUAGAGGGUUAUCUUUAACCAACAAGAGGAACAGACUUGCUAAUGGGGACACGGUCUUCCAUUGUAGUGGUGCUAGAAGUGUUGUCGCCACACGUCAAUUUCUGAAACUCAAAACCGGGAAAGAUCCUGGAAUUUUUGGUGCUUGGCUUCACACGCACAAAUUGCAUCGAGGGACUGAUGAAGAGCAGAUAUGCAGUCAAAGAACUGCUGAUCAUUGGAGGGAUCAAGCUCCACAUCAUCUGACUCCUUUCUUGGCUCAGUAG